UACGUAGGCAGCGAGCGUUGUUCGGAGUUACUGGGCGUAAAGAGUGCGUAGGCGGUUUUCUAAGUUUGGUGUGAAAUCUCCCGGCUUAACUGGGAGGGUGCGCCGAAAACUGGAAGGCUUGAGUAUGGGAGAGGUAAGCGGAAUUCCUGGUGUAGCGGUGAAAUGCGUAGAUAUCAGGAGGAACACCUGCGGUGUAGACGGCUUACUGGACAGGUACUGACGCUGAGACGCGAAAGCGUGGGUAGCAAACAGG
rnacentral:rRNA from 1 species